CACGAAGGGGGCUAGCGUUGCUCGGAAUUACUGGGCGUAAAGGGCGCGUAGGCGGAUAGUUUAGUCAGAGGUGAAAGCCCAGGGCUCAACCUUGGAAUUGCCUUUGAUACUGGCUAUCUUGAGUUCGGGAGAGGUGAGUGGAAUGCCGAGUGUAGAGGUGAAAUUCGUAGAUAUUCGGCGGAACACCAGUGGCGAAGGCGACUCACUGGCCCGAUACUGACGCUGAGGCGCGAAAGCGUGGGGAGCAAACAGG
rnacentral:rRNA from 1 species